rnacentral:rRNA from 1 species
AACGAACGCUGGCGGCAUGCCUAACACAUGCAAGUCGAACGAGACCUUCGGGUCUAGUGGCGCACGGGUGCGUAACGCGUGGGAACCUGCCCUUAGGUUCGGAAUAACUCCCCGAAAGGGGUGCUAAUACCGGAUAAUGUCUUCGGACCAAAGAUUUAUCGCCUUUGGAUGGGCCCGCGUUGGAUUAGCUAGUUGGUAGGGUAAAAGCCUACCAAGGCGACGAUCCAUAGCUGGUCUGAGAGGAUGAUCAGCCACACUGGGACUGAGACACGGCCCAGACUCCUACGGGAGGAAGCAGUGGGGAAUAGUGGACAAUGGGCGAAAGCCUGAUCCAGCAAUGCCGCGUGAGUGAUGAAGGCCUUAGGGUUGUAAAGCUCUUUUAACCGGGAUGAUAAUGACAGUACCGGGAGAAUAAGCUCCGGCUAACUCCGUG